rnacentral:rRNA from 1 species
ACGCACGCUGGCGGCGUGCUUAACCCAUGCCAGUCGAACGGAAAGGCCCUGCUUGCAGGGUACUCGAGUGGCGAACGGGUGAGUAACACGUGGGUGAUCUGCCCUGCACUUCGGGAUAAGCCUGGGAAACUGGGUCUAAUACCGGAUAGGAGCCAUUUUUAGUGUGAUGGUUGGAAAGUUUUUUCGGUGUAGGAUGAGCUCGCGGCCUAUCAGCUUGUUGGUGGGGUAAUGGCCUACCAAGGCGGCGACGGGUAGCCGGCCUGAGAGGGUGGACGGCCACAUUGGGACUGAGAUACGGCCCAGACUCCUACGGGAGGCAGCAGUGGGGAAUAUUGCACAAUGGGCGCAAGCCUGAUGCAGAGACGCCGCGGGGGGGAUGACGGCCUUCGGGUUGUAAACUCCUUUCGCUAGGGACGAAGCUUUUUGUGACGGUACCUAGAUAAGAAGCACCGGCUAACUACGUG